GUCUCUCCCCCUUCUCUCUUCUGAGUCUCCCCCUCGCCCACUGCACUACCCCUUUCUCCCUGCUCUCUCUGUUGCUCUCUACGCCCAGUUCAUUGCUGCAAGGAGCUCCAUUCCGUGAAUAGCUUUUUCCAUGUCUUGGUUGUUCUUCUAUUGGAUAUGGAUAAGCACAAGAGUUAGGUCCGUUCUUGGUGAAGAAAGUGAUUCCUGAAUUAAAAUUCAGUAGCUACAUUGGAACAAGAGGCCAAUUUGCGCUUCCUAGAGUCGCCAAUUGGGGUGGAAUUCUCUUAUACGAAAACCUCUUCUGAUAUUCCCAAGUUUGGAUGUCACAAAAAACAGGAGAAGACUUCUUCACAAUUAAGAAUGCAUCAUCUCGCGUGUGUUACUACUUUUGGGAAAAAAAGUUUGCCAACCUGAGUUAUUCUUCAAAGAGAAAUAA